ensembl:lncRNA
CUGGGAUAAUUCUUCUAGCAGGGGGUGAUCGAGAGUCGGGGUUGGAUUGGUAUUGAUGCUGUCCAGUAGGGGGCGGUGUAGUUGGGGAAGGGUAAGGUUGGAGUUGUCCAGCAGGGGGCGCUGUAGUUGGGGAAGGGUAAGGUUGGUGUGGUCCAGCAGGGGGCAGUCUAGUUGGGGAAGGGUAAGGUUGGAGUGGUCCAGUAGGGGGCGCUGUAGUUGGGGAAGGGUAGAGUUGGAGUGGCUCAACUUUUGGCGGAGGGGGAGGUGUGGCUUCGGACUGAGCGAGAGAACUCAAAAAAUGGCGGCCGUGAUGCUAUAACUCUGUGUGGCCUGUCUAACACACAAGAGCGGAUGAGAGACUAGGGGGUAACUUUUGUCACUCUGGGAGGAGGAGAACGAGAAAAAGGAGGAAAAAACAGGGGGGAGGGAAGCAAAAAACAACAA